GGGUGCGAUCAUACCAGCACUAAUGCACCGGAGCCCAUUAGAACCCUGCAGUUAAGCGUGCUUGGGCGAGAGUAAUACUGGGAUGGGUGACCUCCCGGGAAUUCCUCUAGUUGCACCCC
rnacentral:rRNA from 1 species